rnacentral:rRNA from 1 species
UGGGGAAUAUUGGACAAUGGGCGAAAGCCUGAUCCAGCCAUGCCGCGUGUGUGAAGAAGGUCUUCGGAUUGUAAAGCACUUUAAGUUGGGAGGAAGGGCAGUAAGCGAAUACCUUGCUGUUUUGACGUUACCGACAGAAUAAGCACCGGCUAACUCUGUGCCAGCAGCCGCGGUAAUACAGAGGGUGCAAGAGUUAAUCGGAAUUACUGGGCGUAAAGCGCGCGUAGGUGGUUCGUUAAGUUGAAUGUGAAAGCCCCGGGCUCAACCUGGGAACUGCAUCCAAAACUGGCGAGCUAGAGUAGGGCAGAGGGUGGUGGAAUUUCCUGUGUAGCGGUGAAAUGCGUAGAUAUAGGAAGGAACACCAGUGGCGAAGGCGACCACCUGGGCUCAUACUGACACUGAGGUGCGAAAGCGUGGGGAGCAAACAGG